GGUAGUGUUCCCGAGUUUGGUCAAAGGGGAGAGACUUAAGAUCUCUUGCGUCACGCUUCGAGGGUUCAAAUCCCUCCGCUAUCA
rnacentral:tRNA from 1 species